GGAACUGACAUAAUUUGCUGUCGUGACUGGCUCAAGGGGUUCAUCCAAAAUGGAUUCUUCUCUUGUUUUUGCUCAUGGACAUCAUGGAAAAAUCUUUGAUGUGCUUGCAACUGCCUGGCUGGUGGGACUUCCCAAGGCAAAAAACACAGCGAUCGUGACUGUCCUGAAAGGGCAGUUUGUGGGAGCAGAUGGUACAGCGGCUGAAAGGACCGGAACGGGACAUAAGCAGAAUAUUACAGAAUUUGAAACACAGGAAUCAUGGGAAAGGACACAGUAACAGAUUCAUGGAAGAAACUAAGGAAAAAGUUCUGAGGUUCCCUUGGUCUCUCUUGGAAACCCUUUGUGAACCUUGGGAUAGGUGGGUGUGGGUGUCUUCUGUGCAGUCAAGUCAGA